rnacentral:tRNA from 1 species
GAGCUGUUAGUAAACCAAUUACAUAGACUUGUCAAGACUAAAUCACAGGUGCAAGCCCUGUACACCUCUCA